GUCGAACGCUGGCGGCGUGCUUAACACAUGCAAGUCGUACGGUAAGGCCCUUUCGGGGGUACACGAGUGGCGAACGGGUGAGUAACACGUGAGUAACCUGCCCACAACUUUGGGAUAACGCUAGGAAACUGGUGCUAAUACUGGAUAUGUGCUCCUGCUGCAUGGUGGGGGUUGGAAAGCUCCGGCGGUUGUGGAUGGACUCGCGGCCUAUCAGCUUGUUGGUGGGGUAGUGGCCUACCAAGGCGGCGACGGGUAGCCGGCCUGAGAGGGUGACCGGCCACAUUGGGACUGAGAUACGGCCCAGACUCCUACGGGAGGCAGCAGUGGGGAAUAUUGCACAAUGGGCGCAAGCCUGAUGCAGCAACGCCGCGGGCGGGAUGACGGCCUUCGGGUUGUAAACCGCUUUCAGCAGGGACGAAGCUUUUUGUGACGGUACCUGCAGAAGAAGCACCGGCUAACUACGUG
rnacentral:rRNA from 1 species